AAAAGUAAUCAUAAUUUUCGUAUAAAGUUGGAGAUACGGUCCGACAGUUUCUACCAAGUUGCCUUAAAUGACUUGACUACGAUAUGUUAC
rnacentral:ncRNA from 1 species